rnacentral:rRNA from 1 species
GCGCAUGCGAGUGCGGGAAANUNCCGGCGGUAUGGGAUGGGGUCGCGUCCUAUNNGCUUGACGGCGGGGUAACGGCCCACCGUGGCUUCGACGGGUAGCCGGCCUGAGAGGNNGACCGGCCACAUUGGGACUGAGAUACGGCCCNGACUCCUACGGGAGGCAGCAGUGGGGAAUAUUGCACAAUGGGCGAAAGCCUGAUGCAGCGACGCCGCGUGAGGGAUGGAGGCCUUCGGGUUGUAAACCUCUUUUAUCGGGGAGCAAGCGCAAGUGAGUUUACCCGUUGAAUAAGCACCGGCUAACUACGUGCCAGCAGCCGCGGUAAUACGUAGGGUGCAAGCGUUAUCCGGAUUUAUUGGGCGUAAAGGGCUCGUAGNCGGUUCGUCGCGUCUGGUGUGAAAGUCCAUCGCUUAACGGUGGAUCUGCGCCGGGUACGGGCGGGCUGGAGUGCGGCAGGGGAGACUGGAAUUCCCGGUGUAACGGUGGAAUGUGUAGAUAUCGGGAAGAACACCAAUGGCGAAGGCAGGUCUCUGGGCCGUUACUGACGCUGAGGAGCGAAAGCGUGGGGAGCGAACAGGAUUAGAUACCCUGGUAGUCCACGCCGUAANCGGUGGACGCUGGAUGUGGGGCCCUUUCCACGGGUUCCGUGUCGGAGCUAACGCGUUAAGCGUCCCGCCUGGGGAGUACGGCCGCAAGGCUAAAACUCAAAGAAAUUGACGGGGGCCCGCACAAGCGGCGGAGCAUGCGGAUUAAUUNNAUGCNNCGCGAANANCCUUACCUGGGCUUGACAUGUUCCNNNNGACC